rnacentral:piRNA from 1 species
AUAAUGAACUUGUUAGAAUAGAC